rnacentral:rRNA from 1 species
UACGUAGGGUGCGAGCGUUGUCCGGAAUUACUGGGCGUAAAGCGUGCGCAGGCGGUUAUGUAAGACAGAUGUGAAAUCCCCGGGCUCAACCUGGGAACUGCAUUUGUGACUGCAUAGCUAGAGUACGGUAGAGGGGGAUGGAAUUCCGCGUGUAGCAGUGAAAUGCGUAGAUAUGCGGAGGAACACCGGUGGCGAAGGCGGCCAUCUGGACGACUACUGACGCUGAGACGCGAAAGCGUGGGGAGC